CGGGCGUACGGGCAAAUUACAUGCAGGUCUAGCGAGUCUCUUCAAACGCUCCCCGGCGGACGGGUGAAUAACACGUACGCAACCUGCCUCUCAGACUGGGAUAACAGAGGGAAACUUAUGCUAAUACCGGAUAUGUUUUUGGACCCCAUGGUCCGAAAAGAAAAGGCGGCUUCGGCUGUCACUGGGAGAUGGGCCUGCGGCGCAUUAACUAGUUGGGGGGGUAACGGCCUACCAAGGCGACGAUGCGUAGCCGACCUGAGGGGGUGACCGGCCACCCUGGGACUGAAACACCGCCCAGACCCCUAGGGGAGGCAGCAGUAGGGAAUUUUCCACAAUGGACGAAAGUCUGAUGGAGCAACGCCGCGUGAACGAUGAAGGUCUUCAGAUUGUAAAGUUCUGUUGUCAGGGACAAAAAAGUACCGUUCAAAUAGGGCGGUACCUUGACGGUACCUGACGAGAAAGCCACGGCUAUCUACGUGCCAGCAGCCGCGGUAAUACGUAGGUGGCGUGCGUUGUCCGGAUUUAGUGGGCGUAAAGCGCGCACGGGCGGCUAUGUCCCUCUGGUGUUAAAGCCGGGGGGCUCACCCGCGGGUCCCCUCCCAAACUGUGUUUUUUGUGUGCAUAACAGGAGAGCUGUUUUCCCGUGUGUACCCCGUAAAUGCGUAUAAUAUGUGUAGGAACCCCAUUCGACAAGGGCGGUCUUCCCUGUCUGUAUCUCCCCCCUGAUUGCCCGCAAAGCGUGGGGGAUCAACAGGAUUAGAUACCCCUGGGUCAUCGACGGUCUAAACACAAAUGAGCUGCUAUGUUGUUGGGGGGUUUCAAUAACACUACAGUGCCCCCCCUAAGGCAAUAAAGCCCCUCCCCCUUGGGGGAGGACCCCCCCCGAGAUGUGACACCCGAAGGUAUUUGACGGAGUCCCCACCACGCUGUGGGAGCCAGGUGUUCACCUAAUAAGCACCGACGAAGACUCUCUCACCAUGCUGUCAAUCGGUGACGACUGUGGAUAAGCACGCUUCUCUCUCUUGGCAGCAUCACAAGAGACCUCGGUUGUCUACACAUCUUGUCUGCCCAUGGAGACUAUCCGCAACAGAGGACUUAUCUUAUGGCGUGUCUCCUAAGAUUUCCUAUAGAGAACGCUCCAGACACGAGAA
rnacentral:rRNA from 1 species